UACAGAGGGGGCAAGCGUUGUUCGGAAUUACUGGGCGUAAAGGGCGCGUAGGCGGCCUACUAAGUCGAACGUGAAAUCCCCGGGCUUAACCCGGGAACUGCGUCCGAUACUGGUUGGGCUUGAAUCCGGGAGAGGGAUGUGGAAUUCCAGGUGUAGCGGUGAAAUGCGUAGAUAUCUGGAGGUACACCGGUGGCGAAGGCGGCAUCCUGGACCGGUAUUGACGCUGAGGCGCGAAAGCCAGGGGAGCAAACGGG
rnacentral:rRNA from 1 species